CAGUCGCCGCGGGAAUACGAAGGGUGCAAGCGUUACUCGGAAUUACUGGGCGUAAAGCGCACGCAGGCGGUCUGACAAGUCAGAUGUGAAAUCCCCGGGCUUAACCUGGGAAAUGCAUUUGAAACUGUCAGGCUGGAGUCUUGUAGAGGGGGGUAGAAUUCCAGGUGUAGCGGUGAAAUGCGUAGAGAUCUGGAGGAAUACCGGUGGCGAAGGCGGCCCCCUGGACAAAGACUGACGCUCAGGUGCGAAAGCGUGGGGAGCAAACAGGAUUAGAUACCCCGGUAGUCCCUGUCUCUUAUAC
rnacentral:rRNA from 1 species